UACGGAGGGUGCAAGCGUUAUCCGGAUUCACUGGGUUUAAAGGGUGCGUAGGUGGGCAGGUAAGUCAGUGGUGAAAUCUCCGAGCUUAACUCGGAAACUGCCGUUGAUACUAUUUGUCUUGAAUAUUGUGGAGGUAAGCGGAAUAUGUCAUGUAGCGGUGAAAUGCUUAGAUAUGACAUAGAACACCUAUUGCGAAGGCAGCAAACUACGCAUAUAUUGACGCUGAGGCACGAAAGCGUGGGGAUCAAACAGG
rnacentral:rRNA from 1 species